GGACGUCCUCCAGUGCAGGGCCCUGAGAUGGGCUCCUCCUGCGUCGGGUGGCCCUGGUGCCAUGGCCGUGUCCUCCCCAGAGACAGAGGAGGGGACGCAGACCCGGAGGAGGAGCCCCGUGGAGUCCUUUAAUUAACCACCCCUCAGCCCCUUCACUGCAAAGUGACAAGGCUCUGAUCUGGAAGUUGUGGCUCCUUCCCUCUCCGCGGGGGGAAAAGCAGAUUCCAGACGCCCACCUGUCCCCAACCGGAGCUUGGGAGACCGCCCCGGACAUGGCCCUGCCUGGGACUGCAAGGCGACGUAGCUGGGCAGAAGCAAGCUGUCCCGGACCAGUGUGACUCUGGGUGAGUGGCCCUCGGCCCGUGUGCCCUGUCCUCAGGGCGCCGUGGCAGAGCGUCGCCCCUGGGCCGGGUCAGUGGGCUCCAGGGGCCUCCAUCAGCUUCCCCAGGUGUGUGGGUCACCUUUUCUUUACUGUGACAAAAUACCUGAGAAAAACGACUUUGAGGAGGAAAAGGUUUUUUUUUUUUUUUCUUUUGUAGUUAAGACGGCAUCCAAAAUAUGUCAGAUAUAAUAUAAAUAUGAAAUAUAUACAUAGCAUAGAAUAUACGGAAUAAUAUAAUAUAUACAUAAAAUAUAUAAUAUGCAUGAUAAUAAAUAAAAUAGCAUCCAAUCACCAUAGAGCCAAUAGAACAGUAGACAAUAAUGUGAUUUACUCAACGUCCUCUUAUAUGGUCUCAGGUCACGAUAUAGGGUCACCUAAGACACUGACACCGAUCUCACUGCAUAUAAAUACGUGUGACCGUACACAGAGGAGCAUCGAAUAACAGCAUGUCGAAUGCAGCAACGCGUGAUAAUGUGGCUUAUUAAAUGACCUUUCAAAGAAUCUCAUGUGUAUAAUAUAUAGUCACAAAAAAGACAAUAUUUAUGUCAUUAUAUAUGAAUAUCUGUAAUAUUCAUAUAUAUUAUUUGAUCUCCUUUUUAUAUACCUACAUAAAAGGAGAUCGAAUAAUACAUCAAAUAUAAUGAUAUAUCAUGUGAUGCAGUUAUAUGUUUUUAUAUAUUAUAUAAUAUUAUAUAUUAUAUUCUAGAUUAUGUAUGAUUAUAUAUCAUAUAUUAUUUUGUCAUAUAUGAUUAUAUAUUGUUUAUUAUAUAUGAUAUAAUAUUAUAUACUAUCAUAUAUUAUAUAUAAUCAUAUGUUAUAUAUUAUAUUAUCAUAUGCUAUAUUAUAUAUAAUCAUAUUACAUAUCAUGUAUGUUAUAUAUUACACAUUAUAUCUUGUAAUAUUACAUAUUAUACAUUAUAAUACUAUAUAUUAUAUAUUGUAUUAUUAUCUAUUAUAUAUUAUGAUAUUAUAUAUUAUAUCUUGUAAUAUUAUCUAUUAUUACAUAUCAUAUAUUAUAUACUAUUUUAUUUAUUAUAUAUUAAAUUAUUAUGCAUUAUAUAUCAUACAAUAUAUCAUAUAUUAUAUCUUGUAAUGUCAUAUAUUAUUUGCAUCAUAGAUGACACAAUGUGCGUGAUCAUAUCGAUGACGUCAUCACAUAUGGGGGCACUAUUAUGUCAUAUAUAAAUAAUACGCGCUGCAUUACUGCGUAUGAACAGACAUCCUCAUAUAAGUGCUCGAUAAAUGUCACAGAGCCCGUCACUGUGACACUGCGAUCGUCUAUGAUAACCCUGACAGACUGAGCCGGGGGCACAGACUCACGCCUGGGAUCCCAGCCGCUCUGGAGGCUGAGGCAGGAGGAUGGCCAGUUGGAGGCCAGCCUCAGCCGCUCAGCGGGAACCGUCUCUGGAUACUCCACACGAGGCCCCGGGAAGCGGCUCGGGGCUGCAGCCGCUGGGUUAGAGGGACGCCCGAGGGUCCCCUGUCUGGGCGCCUCCUGCCUGCAGUCCCUCCUGCCCUGACCCUGAGGCCCUGUGACAUCGGGCGUCGCUGGCUGUCCCUGGAGCUGGUGAGCUGGUUUCCAGGGGAACCACCGGCUGUCCCUGCCCGGCCCAACCGCCGGCCUGCACAGGUGCACCUGGCUGUGUCGAAACGGCCCUAUUUUGGGUCCCCACGGCCCAGCUGCACCCCGUGGCCUCCACUGGCCCAGAGGCUCUUCCCGGUUCCUCCUUUCUGUUCCUCGUGGGCUCCCCACCCCUGUCCCUGGCACGUGCACAGCCCUGACCUGCCAAGGCCUCCGCCCCUCCUCCCCCAGCACAGGGGGCCUCGACCCUCCGUCCUGUCCCACACCAGCCGCCACAGCACACUUUAAAAGUCCUCCAGGGCUCCAGGUGGGCAGGGGGAUUUCCCAACUGGACCUCUCCUGGCCGUGCUGGGGUCGCUGGGCGUCUUGGCAGGCAGCCCUGGGUGCUCAUGGGGUCCGGUUCCUUGGCACUGAUUACCAAAUAAGAAAAUCUGGCCGUGCCUGGGAUCCCAGUGGCACGGGAGGCUGAGGCAGGAGGACGGCAAGUUGGAGGCCAGCCUCAGCAAGGAUCUAAGCAACUUAGGGAAACCCUGUCUCUAAAUAAAACGGGAAAGGGCCGGGGCUGGGCUCCGUGGGGAAGCACCCCUGGGCUCCAUCCCUGUGCGGAAACAAGGGGUGGGAGGAGGGACAGAGAGACGGACAGGACAACGGGGCAGGACAGAGGGACAGAAGAGCACAAGCCCCUUCCUCCAGUUCCCUGCUCUCCAACAGCUGGGGAGAUCCCUGUGCCGGUCCCCGAGAGCCGGGUGACCCCUUAAGGUCUGGCCAAUCUCCUAUCAGAGCAUCUGGCAGCCCAAGUGUGUCCCCAGGGACAGCUCAGCCUCCCCCUCCUGACGGCCCCUACCUGUGCCCAGGCCUGGCCCAGCCCACAUCUCCCCAAUGCCCAGCCCUGUGCAUCCCUGGCCCCGCCCACAUCCCCAGUGCCCCGCCCUGUGCAUCCCUGGCCCCGCCCACAUCUCCCCAGUGCCCCGCCCUGUGCAUCCCUGGCCCUGCCCACAUCUCCCCAGUGCCCCGCCCUGUGCAUCCCUGGCCCCGCCCACAUCUAUCAGUGCCCCGCCCUGUGCACCCCUGGCCCCGCCCACAUCUCCCCAGUGCCCCGCCCUGUGCAUCCCUGGCCCCGCCCACAUCUCCCAGUGCCCCGCCCCGUGCACCCCUGGCCCCGCCCACAUCCCCCAGUGCCCCGCCCUGUGCAUACCUGGCCCCGCCCACAUCCCCAGUGCCCGGCCCCGUCCAUCCGUGCCCUUCUCUGCCCAGGACCAGAUUGUAAAUGCCCCCGGGUGGCCAGUCAUGCAGCGGGUGGCCGUCCACCAGCCCACGGCCAAGGUGUCCCCUCAGCACAAGCCAUUUCUCCCCGUCUGCUGGAUCAUGGUUUGUGCACCGAGGGUCCCAGGCCUAGAGUGACCUGGCCACAGCACCCUGGCCUUUCAGACCUACUGUGUGCGUUGCAGAACGGCUGGAUUCUUAAAAGGACACGCAUCGCCCUGGAGGAGGGACAGCCUGCCCGUCCCCUGGGGAAGGGGCAGCUUGCAUGUCCAACAGGGGCCGCCCACCUGCAGGAUAGGUGACCAGGACAGGUGGCUGUCAAAUAAGAUUCCUGGGGAUCCCGGAAAAAAUAGCCACAUGUCCUAAGACCCAAACCACAGGAGUCCAGUGCCCCUGGCCCUGGAGGGCAGAAGCUGGACCAGGGUCCCCGGGUGAGCUCCCUCCCCGGGCUCCAGGGGGCUCCUCCUGCCUUUCUAGCUCCUGGGCUCCAGGUGGCCCUGGGCUGGUGGCCCUCACUCCAAUCUCCACGGGUCUCCUCCUCUGGGUCUGUGUGUCCUCUUCUGCCUCCCGAGAGGACACUGCCCCUUGAUAAUCCACGAGGGUCUCAGGUUAACUGCUCCUGACCCUCCCCCCAUUCCCCACUCAGUCCAGGUUGGCGUGGACACUGUCCCCCCGCGGGCUGCUGAGGGAGGCUUCAGGGUCGGGGAGGAGGCCCGGGAUCGAGGCCAGGGAGGAGGCUGGGGAGGUUAUCUGGGACGUCUUUGCUGAGCUCAGGGACACGCCCGUUGCAACACAGUGAAGCCAAGCCCGGGUCAGCAGCCGGUGUCCGGCCAGGACCUGGCCUUGAAACCCGGCCGCUGCCUCAUGGCCACGCAGGGCUCCUCCUGGGAUGGCGGAGGCGGAGGCGGCGGAGGCGGAGGCCACGGAGGCCGGGCCCUGGGUGCUUAUCAGGUGGCUUUUUUACGACGGCAGGAAGUUACUCAACCCCGGCGGCGAGUGCUGAGCAGUAAUGAUCAAUGCCACAAAGAGGAACGCGGCGCGGGGACCCAAGGGGACAAUGACACUCUGCAAGAAGGGAGCGACGUGCCUCGGGACAGCGCACCGCUGACCCCCAGGCGGACCUGACCGGGGCCUCCGGGAGGCGCCGCCCGCAGCCUGCAGGACGCCCCAGAGGAACCAGCACGUUCGGUUUCUCUUUGUGGAGACUUUUUCCAGUAAACGAAAAUCAAAGACAGCGACAGACUUGGGGCUGGGGACACCCGAGUGGGAGCCGAGGAGGAGCCGGGCUGUGCUGUCACCGGCUGGUAAGAUGCGCUGACCCCGAGGGAGAAGGGACAGAGGGCUGGGGAUGCGCUCCUUCCCACAGGGCAGACCCACGGCAGGCCACAGGACCUUUGGACGUGCCCUGGGUGAGCUGAGACCGGGGGCAUCCUGGCCACCAGGGAUCCCCGACAGGGCAGCUCAGAGUCUCAGCUCGGAGAAGCCGACUCGGUGCCCAGCCAUAGACCUUUGGGUUUGGCAAGGUGACAGGUCAGAGGUCAUUGUGACAUUUCCCACCUUUUGGACCCAGCGUCCUGG
rnacentral:lncRNA from 1 species